rnacentral:rRNA from 1 species
AUUGAACGCUGGCGGCAGGCCUAACACAUGCAAGUCGAGCGGAGCGGCGGACGGGUGAGUAAUGCCUAGGAAUCUGCCUGGUAGUGGGGGAUAACGUCCGGAAAGGGGCGCUAAUACCGAAUACUAUCAGAUGAGACUAGGUGGGAUUAGAUAGUUGGUGGGGUAAAGGCAUACCAAGGCGACGCACAGUACCUGGUCUGAGAGGAUGAUCAGUCACAUCUGAACUGAGACACGGUCCAGACUCUUACGGGAGGCAGCAGUGGGGAAUAUUGGACAAUGGGCGAAAUCCUGAUCCAGCCAUGCCUCGUGUGUGAAGAAGGUCUUCGGAUUGUAAAGCACUUUAAGUUGGGAGGCGUUACCAACAGAAUAAGCACCGGCUAACUUCGUGCCAGCAGCCGCGGUAAUAC